rnacentral:rRNA from 1 species
UACGUAGGGUGCAAGCGUUGUCCGGAAUUACUGGGCGUAAAGAGCUCGUAGGUGGUUUGUCGCGUUGUUCGUGAAAACUCACAGCUCAACUGUGGGCGUGCGGGCGAUACGGGCAGACUUGAGUACUGCAGGGGAGACUGGAAUUCCUGGUGUAGCGGUGGAAUGCGCAGAUAUCAGGAGGAACACCGGUGGCGAAGGCGGCUCUCUGGGCCUUUCCUGACGCUGGAGACG